rnacentral:rRNA from 1 species
CCUACUGGUGGCUGCAGUCGAGAAUCAUUCACAAUGGGGGAAACCCUUAUGGUGCGACGCCGCGUGGGGGAAUGAAGGUCUUCGGAUUGUAAACCCCUGUCCUGUAGGAGCAAAUUAAAAAGAUAGUACCACAAGAGGAAGAGACUGCUAACUCGGUGCCAGCAGCCGCGGUAAGACAGAGGUCUCAAGCGUUGUGAGGAAGCACUGGGCGUAAAGCGUGCGUAGGCGGUUUCGUAAGUCGUGUGUGAAAAGCGCGGGCUAAACCCGCGGACGGAACAUGAUACUGGGAGACUAGAGUAAUGUAGGGGGAACCGGAAGUCUCGGUGUAGCAGUGAAAUGCGGAGAUAUCGAGAGGAACACUCGUGGCGAAGGCGGGUUCCUGGACAUUAACUGACGCUGAGGCACGAAGGCCAGGGGAGCGAAAGGGAUUAGAUACCCCUGUAGUC